rnacentral:rRNA from 1 species
UACGGAGGUGCAAGCGUUAUCCGGAUUCACUGGGUUUAAAGGGUGCGUAGGAGGGCAGGUAAGUCAGUGGUGAAAUCCUAGAGCUUAACUCUAGAACUGCCGUUGAUACUAUCUGUCUUGAAUAUUGUGGAGGUGAGCGGAAUAUGUCAUGUAGCGGUGAAAUGCUUAGAUAUGACAUAGAACACCAAUUGCGAAGGCAGCUCGCUACACAUAUAUUGACUCUGAGGCACGAAAGCGUGGGGAUCAAACAGGA